rnacentral:rRNA from 1 species
CUAUGCCUGAGUAGGAUGAAGCCGGAGGAAACUCUGGUGGAGGUCCGAAGCGUUUUUGACGUGCAAAUCAAUCGUCAGACUUGGGUAUAGGGGCGAAAGACUAAUCGAACCAUCUAGUAGCUGGUUCCCUUCGAAGUUUCCCCCAGGAAAGCUGGUGCCAUGUUUGACAGUUUUAUCUGGUAAAGCGAAUGAUUAGAGGCAUUGGGGACGAAUUGUCCUCGACCUAUUCUCAAACUUUAAAUGGGUAAUGUACCGUUGUACUUCUUGAUAUUCAUGAGUGCUCGGUCAAAUGCAAUGGCACCAAGUGGGCCAUUUUUGGUAAGCAGAACUGGCGAUGUGGGAUGAACCAAACGUUGAGCUAGGAUGCCCAAAGUGCUUCUCAUGAGAUACCAUGAAAGGUGUCAGUCGAUAUUGACAGCAGGACGGUGGCCGCAGAAGUAGGAAUCCGCUAAGGAGUGUGUAACAACUCACCUGCCGAAUCGACUGGUCCUGAAAAUGGAUGGCGCUGGAGACGUAUAUCCAUGCUCGACCGUCAAUGCCAACGAAAGCGAUUGCUAUAUGGCUUGACGUGUAGAAGGGCGAUUGCCGUGGCGUCGAAACUUGCACCGUGAGGUGGGGUAGAGCUGCGGCAUGUGCAGAUCUUGGUGGUAGUAGCAAGUAUUCAAAUGAGAGCAUUGAAGACUGAAGUGGAGUAAGGUUCCAUGUGAACAGCAUUUGGACAUGGAUCAGCCGAUCCUAAGAGAACGUGUAAGUUCGUGAUUAAGCGCGUCGCCUUGUGCGUCGCAAUCGAAAGGGAAUCGGGUUAAUAUUCCCGAGCCAGGAUACGGAAUGUGCCUGAUUAUUCGGAAGUACCUUGUGUGCUUUCGACUUCAGGCAAAAGCGGCAACGCCAACAAACCCAGAGAUUAACUAUGCGGAGUCCGGGGAAGAGUUUUCUCUUCUUUGUAAGGGAUGUUAUCCCUGGAAACAGAUUGUCUGGCGAUAGGGUACGCAUCCCGUAAUGCAACGCGAUUCCUGCGAUGUACCGUGCGCUUCGUAUAGUGCUUGAAAAUCUGGGGGCGAGUUUGUUCAGGCCGUACCUGUUCGUACUGAUUUCCGCAGCAGGUCUCCAAGGUGAGCAGCCUCUAGUCGAUGGGACAAAGUAGACAAGGGAAGUCGGCAAAUUAGAUCCGUAACUUCGGAAAAAGGAUUGGCUCUAAAGGCUGAGUUGGUCGGGCGGUUGCGUGAAGCUGGGAGCGACGCUUUGACUCUGUCUCAGACUCCGUUCUCGCAAGGGAUGCGGAAUCGAGGACGGAACUUUGUCUACGCUCUCUGUGGACCGCGGUCGCUAUGCCACCCGUGCGGUAUCUAAACGUAAGUCUCGAGCCGUGCGACGUGGAUCCGAUCAGCGUUUAACAGCUGACCUAGAACUGGUAUGGACAAGGGGAAUCCAACUGUUUAAUUAAAACAAAGCAUUGCGAUAGCUGUAAUCGGUGUUGACGCGAUGUGAUUUCUGCCCAGUGCUCUGAAUGUUAAAGUGAAGGAACUCAUCCAAGCGCGAGUUAACGGCGGAAGUAACUAUGACUUUCUUAAGGUAGCCAAAUGCCUCGUCAUCUAAUUAGUGACGUGCAUGAAUGGAUUAUUGAGAUUCCUUCUGUCCCUGUCUGCAACCUAGCGAAACCACAGCCAAGGGAACGGGCUUGGAGAGUAACAGCGGGGAAAGAAGACCCUGUUGAGCUUGACUCUAGUCAGUCUUUGUGAAGAAACAUGAUGGGUGUAGAAUAGGUGGGAGGACGCGACAGUGAAAUACCACUACUAUCAUCGUUUCUUUACUUACUCAAUUGAUCAGGGAGCGUGAAUUCGCUAUUUGCGAUGUAUGAUUAUUCCUCUAGUGGAAUAAGUGUCUGGUUUGAGAACACAGACUGAUUGGGAGUUUGACUGGGGCGGUACAUCUGUUAAAAUCUAACGCAGGUGUCCUAAGGCAAUCUCAGCGUGGACAGAAACCUCGCAUAGAGCGAAAGGGCAAAAGAUUGCUUGAUCUUGAUUUUCAGUACGAAUAAAGACAAUGAAAGUUUGGCUUGUCGAUCCUUUUGAAUUUUACGAGUUUUAAGCAAGAGGUGUCAGAAAAGUUACCACAGGGAUAACU